rnacentral:rRNA from 1 species
UUACGGCCAUAUCACGUUGAAACACCGGUUACCGUACGAUCAGUGAAGUUAAGCAAUGUCGCCUGUUCAUUACCUAGAUGGGUGACUCCUUGGGAAUACCAGGUGCUGCAA